rnacentral:misc_RNA from 1 species
GAGAGCCCGUUGCCUAGUAAUGGGCAUGGCGGGUUCGGCGAGAGGUCCGGGGAAACGGACCGGGAGUAAUCCCAGC